UGGGAAGUAUUGCAUCAAUGGGCAGGCAAGCCAUGCAUGCAGCCAUGCCGCGUGUAUGAAGAAGGCCUUCGGGUUGUAAAGUACUUUCAGCGAGGAGGAAGGCGUUGUGGUUAAUAACCGCAACGAUUGACGUUACUCGCAGAAGAAGCACCGGCUAACUCCGUGCCAGCAGCCGCGGUAAUACGGAGGGUGCAAGCGUUAAUCGGAAUUACUGGGCGUAAAGCGCACGCAGGCGGUCUGUCAAGUCGGAUGUGAAAUCCCCGGGCUCAACCUGGGAACUGCAUCCGAAACUGGCAGGCUAGAGUCUUGUAGA
rnacentral:rRNA from 1 species